GCAGGCAAACGCUUGAAUACGUUAGCAUGGAAUAAUAGAAUAGGACUUUGGUUCUAUUUUGUUGGUUUCUAGGACCGAAGUAAUGAUUAAUAGGGACAGUUGGGGGCAUUAGUAUUUAGUUGUCAGAGGUGAAAUUCUUGGAUUUACGAAAGACUAACUUCUGCGAAAGCAUUUGCCAAGGAUGUUUUCAUUAAUCAAGAACGAAAGUUAGGGGAUCGAAGACGAUCAGAUACCGUCGUAGUCUUAACCAUAAACUAUGCCGACUAGGGAUCGGACGAUGUUAAUUUAUAAUUGACUCGUUCGGCACCUUACGAGAAAUCAAAGUUUUUGGGUUCCGGGGGGAGUAUGGUCGCAAGGCUGAAACUUAAAGGAAUUGACGGAAGGGCACCACAGGAGUGGAGCCUGCG
rnacentral:rRNA from 1 species